rnacentral:rRNA from 1 species
AUUGAACGCUGGCGGCAUGCUUUACACAUGCAAGUCGAACGGCAGCGCGGGGCAACCUGGCGGCGAGUGGCGAACGGGUGAGUAAUACAUCGGAACGUACCCAGAAGUGGGGGAUAACGUAGCGAAAGUUACGCUAAUACCGCAUACGUUCUACGGAAGAAAGUGGGGGAUCUUCGGACCUCAUGCUUUUGGAGCGGCCGAUGUCUUAUUAGCUAGUUGGUGAGGUAAAGGCUCACCAAGGCGACGAUCAGUAGCUGGUCUGAGAGGACGACCAGCCACACUGGGACUGAGACACGGCCCAGACUCCUACGGGAGGCAGCAGUGGGGAAUGUUGGACAAUGGGCGCGAGCCUGAUCCAGCAAUGCCGCGUGGGUGAAGAAGGCCUUCGGGUUGUAAAGCUCUUUUGUCAGGGAAGAAACGGCUGAGGAUAAUACCUUCGGCUAAUGACGGUACCUGAAGAAUAAGCACCGGCUAACUACGUGCCAGCCGCCGCAGUAA